rnacentral:tmRNA from 1 species
GGGGACGUUCUGGAUUCGACAGGGGUAGGUCGAGCUUAAGUUGCGAGUCGAGCUGAGUGUCCUCGUAUAAAACGCUCAUCGCCUAUAGUUGGCAAAGAAGAAAACAACUUCGCACUAGCAGCGUAACAGUUGCUUUGCGGUUCCUCCCUUCAUCGCCCAUGUGAAGGACCAGGGACUCACUUAUAGUGGGAUACGCCUGAAGUCCACCGCCUGAGGAUAACAGGAAGAGAUCAACCAGGAUAGCCACAUGGAAGCCUGUCAGCUGGCUGAAGUGAUGGCGAAAUCCCAAUAAACUGACUACACUCGUAGACGCUUAGGUGUCGUUAUCUCUGGACGUGGGUUCGAUUCCCACCGUCUCCACCA